CAGGCUUAACACAUGCAAGUCGAGGGGCAUCAGGAAGAAAGCUUGCUUUCUUUGCUGGCGACCGGCGCACGGGUGAGUAACACGUAUCCAACCUGCCCUUUACUCGGGGAUAGCCUUUCGAAAGAAAGAUUAAUACCCGAUAGCAUAAUGAUUCCGCAUGGUUUCAUUAUUAAAGGAUUCCGGUAAGGGAUGGGGAUGCGUUCCAUUAGGUUGUUGGUGAGGUAACGGCUCACCAAGCCUUCGAUGGAUAGGGGUUCUGAGAGGAAGGUCCCCCACAUUGGAACUGAGACACGGUCCAAACUCCUACGGGAGGCAGCAGUGAGGAAUAUUGGUCAAUGGGCGCUAGCCUGAACCAGCCAAGUAGCGUGAAGGAUGAAGGCUCUAUGGGUCGUAAACUUCUUUUAUAUAAGAAUAAAGUGCAGUAUGUAUACUGUUUUGUAUGUAUUAUAUGAAUAAGGAUCGGCUAACUCCGUGCCAGCAGCCGCGGUAAUACGGAGGAUCCGAGCGUUAUCCGGAUUUAUUGGGUUUAAAGGGAGCGUAGGUGGACUGGUAAGUCAGUUGUGAAAGUUUGCGGCUCAACCGUAAAAUUGCAGUUGAUACUGUCAGUCUUGAGUACAGUAGAGGUGGGCGGAAUUCGUGGUGUAGCGGUGAAAUGCUUAGAUAUCACGAAGAACUCCGAUUGCGAAGGCAGCUCACUGGACUGCAACUGACACUGAUGCUCGAAAGUGUGGGUAUCAAACAGGAUUAGAUACCCUGGUAGUCCACACAGUAAACGAUGAAUACUCGCUGUUUGCGAUAUACAGUAAGCGGCCAAGCGAAAGCAUUAAGUAUUCCACCUGGGGAGUACGCCGGCAACGGUGAAACUCAAAGGAAUUGACGGGGGCCCGCACAAGCGGAGGAACAUGUGGUUUAAUUCGAUGAUACGCGAGGAACCUUACCCGGGCUUAAAUUGCAGUGGAAUGAUGUGGAAACAUGUCAGUGAGCAAUCACCGCUGUGAAGGUGCUGCAUGGUUGUCGUCAGCUCGUGCCGUGAGGUGUCGGCUUAAGUGCCAUAACGAGCGCAACCCUUAUCUUCAGUUACUAACAGGUCAUGCUGAGGACUCUGGAGAGACUGCCGUCGUAAGAUGUGAGGAAGGUGGGGAUGACGUCAAAUCAGCACGGCCCUUACGUCCGGGGCUACACACGUGUUACAAUGGGGGGUACAGAAGGCAGCUAGCGGGUGACCGUAUGCUAAUCCCAAAAUCCUCUCUCAGUUCGGAUCGAAGUCUGCAACCCGACUUCGUGAAGCUGGAUUCGCUAGUAAUCGCGCAUCAGCCACGGCGCGGUGAAUACGUUCCCGGGCCUUGUACACACCGCCCGUCAAGCCAUGGGAGCCGGGGGUACCUGAAGUACGUAACCGCAAGGAUCGUCCUAGGGUAAAACUGGUGACUGGGGCU
rnacentral:rRNA from 1 species